GAUGAACGCUGGCGGCGUGCCUAAUACAUGCAAGUCGAGCGAACGGACGAGAAGCUUGCUUUUCUGAUGUUAGCGGCGGACGGGUGAGUAACACGUGGAUAACCUACCUAUAAGACUGGGAUAACUUCGGGAAACCGGAGCUAAUACCGGAUAAUAUUUUGAACCGCAUGGUUCAAAAGUGAAAGACGGUCUUGCUGUCACUUAUAGAUGGAUCCGCGCUGCAUUAGCUAGUGGGUAAGGUAACGGCUUACCAAGGCAACGAUGCAUAGCCGACCUGAGAGGGUGAUCAGCCACACUGGAACUGAGACACGGUCCAGACUCCUACGGGCGGCAGCAGUAGGGAAUCUUCCGCCACGGGCGAAAGCCUGACGGAGCAACGCCGCGUGAGUGAUGAAGGUCUUCGGAUCGUAAAACCCUUUUAUUAGGGAAGAACAUAUGUGUAAGUAACUGUCCACAUCUUGACGGUACCUAAUCAGAAAGCCACGGCUAACUACGUG
rnacentral:rRNA from 1 species